CCCGCAGGACCUGGGGGGGCACCCGGGGGCCGGGGGCUUCGCUGCGGCCGCUGCCAGCGCUGGGGGUCGACGGCUGCCAGAGCCUCUGCGAGGAGGGCGGCUGCCCCUGCGGGCGCCCGGCCCUGGGGCUGCUGCUGCGCCGGGAGCCGCGUCCGGAGACCCCCCCCCGGCCCCCCCCGCCCAGGCGGCUGCUGGCGCCUUCGGCUGCUUUGACGGCGACUCCGAGGCCUGGGAGCCCCCCCGAGGCGGCG